rnacentral:rRNA from 1 species
UACGUAGGAGGCGAGCGUUGUCCGGAUUUACUGGGCGUAAAGCGCACGUAGGCGGAUCCUUAAGUCGGGGGUGAAAUCCUGGAGCUCAACUCCAGAACUGCCUUCGAUACUGAGGAUCUCGAGUCCGGGAGAGGUGAGUGGAACUGCGAGUGUAGAGGUGAAAUUCGUAGAUAUUCGCAAGAACACCAGUGGCGAAGGCGGCUCACUGGCCCGGUACUGACGCUGAGGUGCGAAAGCGUGGGGAGCAAACAGG